GAUGAACGCUGGCGGCGUGCCUAAUACAUGCAAGUCGAACGCUGAAGGAGGAGCUUGCUCUUCUGGAUGAGUUGCGAACGGGUGAGUAACGCGUAGGUAACCUGCCUUGUAGCGGGGGAUAACUAUUGGAAACGAUAGCUAAUACCGCAUAACAACAGUUACUGCAUGAUAACUGUUUAAAAGGGGCAGCUGCUCCACUACCAGAUGGACCUGCGUUGGAUUAGCUAGUUGGUGAGGUAUCGGCGCACCAAGGCGACGAUACAUAGUCGACCUGAGAGGGGGAGCGGCCACACUGAGACGGAGACACGGCCCAGAGUCCUUCGGGAGGGAGCAGUAGGGAAUCGGGGGGAAGGGGCGGAAGUCAGAGCGAGAAGGGCCGCGGGAGGGAAGAAGGAUGUCGGGUGGGAAAGCUCGGUUGUAAGGGAAGAACGAGUGUGAGAGUGGAAAGUUCACACUGUGACGGUAGCUGACCAGAAAGGGACGGCUAACUACGUG
rnacentral:rRNA from 1 species